CCUACGAGAGGCUGCAGUCGAGAAUCAUUCACAAUGGGGGAAACCCUGAUGGUGCGACGCCGCGUGGGGGAAUGAAGGUCUUCGGUUUGUAAACCCCUGUCAUGUGGGAACAAAUUAAAAAGAUAGUACCACAAGAGGAAGAGACGGCUAACUCUGUGCCAGCAGCCGCGGUAAUACAGAGGUCUCAAGCGUUGUUCGGAAUCACUGGGCGUAAAGCGUGCGUAGGCUGUUUCGUAAGUCGUGUGUGAAAGGCGCGGGCUCAACCCGCGGACGGCACAUGAUACUGCGAGACUAGAGUAAUGGAGGGGGAACCGGAAUUCUCGGUGUAGCAGUGAAAUGCGUAGAUAUCGAGAGGAACACUCGUGGCGAAGGCGGGUUCCUGGACAUUAACUGACGCUGAGGCACGAAGGCCAGGGGAGCGAAAGGGAUUAGAUACCCUGGUAGUC
rnacentral:rRNA from 1 species